rnacentral:tRNA from 1 species
GCGGUACUGGGGCCAGGGCAAAGGCCCUGCGUUGUUCGGAUCGCCGCGCGAACGGGCGAGCGGGCAGCGGUUCCAGCUGUUGUGGCGUACC